rnacentral:rRNA from 1 species
UGUUCCCAUGCCGAACACUGAAGUUAAGCUCUUUAGCGCCGAUGGUAGUUGGGCUUACGUUCCGCGAGUGUAGGUCGUUGCCGGGC